ACCCAGAUCGACCCUAACAUUUUUAACAUUUUGAUGUCUACUGCCGGUACUGGUUAGGUAUGUUAGGGUUACAAUGCAAAUUAAAAAUAAAAUGUAAAAUAAUGAAUGUUGAAGGUACAGUGAACAUGUACACAUCUGUUGCAUAAUUAUCACUUUCAUUUCAUUUCAUUUCAGUUUGAUAUACUGUAGUGGACGGAUCAGCAGGGGAGGUAACUAGAGUCCAGAUUGGGACUAGGGCGUAACUUGCCGACAACAAAAAAAAGGAGAAAAUUUUAGUGUGAUGUAAAAGUAAAGCAGAGUGACUAGAGACCAGUAACUUCAGAAUUGAAGAGAUGCAGGUCUUUGUUCUACAUGGUGAAAGAGGGAAUUAUAGUGGAUAUUUGGAUUGAUCAGUGAAACCUGUGAAGUGUUAGUGAAGCAGAAUAGUUACAGAUCAUAAGAGAUGCAGGUCUUUGUUCAGCAUGGUGUAUAUGGAAAACAUAGUGGAUGGCCAGCAUAGAAAACAUUUAACGAUGUGAAGCAACAGUCAAGCAGAAUGUUUACAGACCAUUAAUUCAGAACUGACAAGAUGCAGGUCUCUGUUCUACAUGCUGUAUGAGGGAACUAUUGUGGAAUUUUGGAUUUCAUGGCAGUCAUAGAAAUAUUUAAUAACCAGAUAAUUUAUAUUAGAACCAUUUAUCACUUACAAGCUGCAUUUAGAGUUACAGAAUAGCUGAACAGAUACUAUUAGUUAAAAACAAACAAACUCGUCUUUCAUUCAUAAAACAAAUUUUACAGUUCAAGGGAGCCAACUCAGAUUUAAAAAAAACAACACUAAAAUGCCCUUGCUUUCACAGAAAUUGUCACCUUUCAGGAUGUAAUCAGUUUUAUAGUUUUGGAUCGAGUAUGAACUACAUUGGCAUUUUAGAAUAGAUAGAUGCUUCAAUAAUUACUAUAAAAUUUUAUGCAACAUUGUAUUUUCAUAACCAAUUAACUUAUACCAUAUCAUGUAUUUAUACAGGUCUAUAUGACUGAGAUGUGUGUACCAGUCUAUCAGGCUAUCCCAUUCUGUCCAGUCAACAAAUUGGCAAUGACUACAUGGAUUCUCAAGUAACUUGGCAUUACUUAUCACAGUAACAAAGAUAGAUUGCAAAUGUUUUUAGAGAAAUAUAUGAACUAGAGCUAUCAGCAGUAUGCCAGAGACACAGCAACAAAUACACACUGUUUUGCACAGAUUUGUGUUCCACCUGUAUGGCCUUAGUGGAAUUGUCAUAAAAUAAGAUAGGAUAGUUAGCUGAAAAUCUGGAAAGGGUCCACCUCUGCCAUGGAAGUUUGAAAGCUGCCAUAAGGCCUUUACUAUCAGACAAAUCACAUUUACCUCUGGCUGAGUGGAGGAGAACAGAUUUGCAGGAGCAGCCAGUGUCCAAGGAAACCCACAGCCAUUCUAAAUAUAGGAACAACACAAUCAGACAAGUUGGCAAGAUUCAAGAGUGGUGACAUUCUGCCCAAGAUUCAAGUCUGGAGAUUCAAUUGGCUGAUUUUAUAAUCUUUUUUUUUAUUAAAGUUUAAAAAUGACAUUGACUUAAGACUGCAUGUAUAUUGUUUUCAGUCAAAGGCUUUUCUAUUCAACACAUUAUGAUCUGGAAAAAAACAAUAUUGGAGACAAGUUUGUAUAACAAAAUGAAAGAAAGAAAAAGGUUUUUAUGUUACAAAGAUUUUUUUAAAAACAUACUAAGUGACAUUAUCAAAGAGGAUACUACACGAGUGUCUUUUCAUAUUAAAUGAAGUUAUUAAACAAGAUUAAUAAAACAAUAAAAUGCGAGGCGAGGCUGAGCAUUGUAAUAAUUUUAUACAACGAGUUUAAUAAAGUCAGUGUGGAAAGUCACAAAUGUAAUAUUCUUUUUAUCACGUGUUAGCUUUUCCUGCCGAAACACAGAAAUUCUACUUUCUUUAACUAUUAUAAACAAGUCAAUUUGACCAACGUCUCCUAUACUAUAAGUGACGUCGACGUCAAAGCUUUAUUACACUAGUGUAUUAUCAUUUUUAUGUAAUGGCUUUAUUUCACUCCCGCAACGUCAAACAUGUGAUAAAUGUCUUUUAAAUAUACAAGACUACAGUAAUUGCUUUUUUAAAAGUUUACAGAAAGUGAAAAAAGAAACAGCUUUUUCAACCUGAAGAUAUGUUACAACAAUUUAAAGGACUUUUACAAAGAAAAUCAUUAUUUAUGUCACAAGUUACAUACCGGUAGUUCCUAGCUAUAUGACUUACGUUUACUUUCAACUGUAUUGCAUGACUUUUGUAAAUUUUAGCAGUUGAGUCAUUACCACAAAAAUAUUGUAACUGACUUCCUAAUUUUUGGCUAGUUGAUCUAUUCCAUCUGUUUUCUUGAAGUUUACUGCAAAAAAGUAAUAAUUAAAACUGGAAAUGAUGCUUUUCUGACUUUCAUUUUUGAAAAUGUUGAAUCAUAAUCUGAAGGAUCUGUAAACAACAUGAUACUAGUUCAUUAUUUCAUAACUCCUGAUAUAUAGUGCUGGUCCAUAGUUUGUACUGUUGACCAGUCUGUAGUUCCACACUAAAGUUUGCUUGGCUAAAGUCAAAAUUUGAAGGAAAAAAUAUGAAAUAUUUCUGAUGUCAUGUAGUAAAACAAAAGUGUGAAAAUGAAUUUCUUAGGUCCUGUAAUAAAACACUUACUGAAUGGCUUGCCAGUCAAUUGUCAGAACUAUUUGCCCUUGGUCCUUUUGACCUCAGAUUAUAGUUUUGACUAUUGACCAGCAAGUAAUUCAAUAGGUAUGUACUAUUGACCAUUUAUCCUCUGGAAAUACUGUACAACUAUCGACCUUAAGUGUUCAACAGUUAAAAUUAUACAGCCAAAUAAAUGGCUAUAGACCCUCAUCAGAAAACUAUUGACUGAGACAAAGGCAAGGGUAAUAGGAUACUGAUGAUGGUCAAAGUCAUUUUGAAUGAUUUAAACCCAAUGACCACUUUAAAGGUAGGUAGUUGUUUAUUGAACAACAGGUAAAAGAAUUAAGAAGGUGCUACCUUGUAGAUACGUCAUUGCUAUUAUUGUUAUGGUUUCCAGGCAGUACGGGUAGAAUUAGUAUAAACAGGUAUUUGAUUUGUAUUUGUUUAGAUUGCCUCCCGAUGAGCUGUUGUGAUCACUCUGCGUCUGUAGUCUAUCAUCAUUGUCAGUCAUCAAUAAUUUAACUAGAGGUCACAGUUUUGUCCAGAUCUUAAUGAAAAUUGAUAAGAAUGCUACUAUCAAUAAAAUCUGGACAAGUGUCUUGUUUAUGGCUAGGUCAUCUUGGAUCAAAAACUAGGUCAUGAGGUCUAAUAUUUGGAAAACUUUGUUAACACUCUAGAGACCACAUUUUCUACACCCUCUUAAUAAAACUUUGUCAGAAUGUUUGUAUAGAGAUGCUACAGUCUCUAUUUGAUUUUUGUUGAGCCCGCUUGCGGAAACGAAGACAUAGUUGUCCAAAUGGCUGUUCGGUGUAUGUGCAUGCAUCUGUCCGUGCCUCCAUCAGGAUUUGUUUGUCCGGACGAUAACUUUGACAUGCAUGGAGCAAUCUCGUUUAUAUUUGGCAUGACUGUUACUUUUUACCUUAGUGAGACAGAGUGUCAUGCGCAAACCACAGGUUUCUAUCUCAAAGGUCAAGGUCACACUUGGAGGUCAAAGGUUAAAUUCAAUAAUGACUUUGUCCAGAGCAUUUCUUCUUCAUGCAUGGAGGGAUUUUGAUGUAACUUGGCACAAAUGUUCACAACUAUGUGACACAGUGUCAUGCGCAAGAACCAGAUCCCUAGGUCUAAGGUCAAGGUCACUCUUAGAGGUCAAAGGUCAGAUACAAGAAUGACUUUGUCCGGAGCAUUUCUUUUUCAAGCAUGGAGGGAUUUUGAUGUAACUUGGCACAAUUGUUCACCAUCAUGAGACGGAGUGUCAUGUGCAAGAACCUAGAAUUAUGUCCCUUUGUUGUUACUAUAAAUUAAUAGCGUAUAUUGUAACUUUUUUAUUACUGGUCGUAGGGAAAAAUCAAGACCACUUUUCUGUAGUACAGUAUGCAUGUUACAUCCAACUUUGAGGUGUAUUUUGACCUAUCUCUGCUGGUAAGGAUUUUUGUGUGGACAUAGAUUUUUUUUAAAGAUUUACUUCCCUUUGUUUUUACUAUAAAUAACUUCUAUUGUAACUUUUUGCAAUCAUUUUUUAUUUGGCAUAAAUGUUUGCCUCAAUGAGAUUGUGUGUCAUGUGCAACUCCUAGUCCUUUUGACAGCUGGCGGGCUGGACAUGUUGCCCGUGGGCAUCUAGUUUAUAUAGUUAUAUAGAAAACUUUGAAAAUCAUCUACUGUGAAACUGCUGGCCUGAUUUUGCAAUAGUUUAACAGCAAUAUUCCUAUACCAGAUUUUCUUGUUAUUGUGAUUUUUCUGAAAACAUGAUGCCCUCGUGAAAUUAUUACACUUGACAAAUAACUGCCCAUCAUGAUUGUAUAAAUAAAUUUAAAAACCUAAAAUACUGUAUGCUAUAUAUUAUUUCAGAAUGAUAUCUGUAUAUAAAAAUCUGAUAGAAUUCAUAAAUUGUUGUUAUAUACAUGUAUAAAUUCUGUCAAAAAUAAAGCUUGUAUUUCACAAGGAAAUACGAACAGGCUGAAAAAAAUCCUGUAUUGUACCUUCCAAAAUUCUGUAUUGUAUCUUCCAUAUUGUAUGUUGCUGGACUACUUUCAUUAAUAUGCAUGAGCCGACACAGCUAUAUAAAACAUCUCUCAAUUCAUUUUAAAGCGACUAACCCACACAUCGUGGUGUAAGAUUUUAAAAAAUCAAACGUUUGCUAUAUUCACCGACAUGCUGCAUAUAUUCGAUGUCCUUACAAUGUAUUUUUAACCAGGUUUUCAACGAAAACCUGAGUUAUUAGAUUGGGGUAUGUCGUUGGUUGGGUGGGUGGGCGGAUGGCGGCGUCAAACUGGUGUUUCCGGUCAAUAACUUUUGUUUCGGUAAAGAUAUUUGAAUAAAACUUGGUAUGUAUGUAGCUAAUAUCAAGACAAAGGCUGGGAUUGAUUUUGGGGUUUCUGGGGUCAAGGUCAAGGUCACUGUUACUUAAAAUAGAAAAAGGGUUUCCGGUCAAUAACUUAACUUAGGAAUGAGCUAUCAUGAUGAAACUUGGUGUAUAGAAAACUUAUAUAAAGUUGUAGCUUGGGAUUGAUUUUGGGGUUUCUGGGAUCAAGGUCAAGGUCAUUGUUACUAAAAAUAGGGUUAGGGUUAGGUUAGGGUUAGGGUUAGCAUAUCUUCUACAUGCAUGGAGGGAUUUUGAUGAAAGUUGGCACAAUUGUUCACCAUCAUGAGACGGAGUGUCAUGCGCAAGAACCAGGUCCCUAGGUCUAAGGUCAAGGUCAUACUUAGAGGUCAAAGGAUACAAGAAUGAAAACUUUGUCCGGAGCAUAUCUUCUUCAUGCAUAGAGGGAUUUUGAUGUAACUUGGCACAAUUAUACACCAUCAUGAGUCGAAGUGUCUUGCACAGUUCCCUUCUUUAGAAUUACUUCCCUUUGUUGUUACUAUAAAUAGCUUAUAUUGUAACUUUUUCAUUACUAGACGUAGGGAAAAAUCGAGACCACUUUUCUGUAGUACAACAUGCAUGUUACAUCCAAUUUUGAGGUGUAUUUUGACCAAUCUCUACCUGGUAAGGAUUUCUGUGUGAACUUACAA